GGAUUGUAGGCUGCAACUCGCCUACAUGAAGUUGGAAUCGCUAGUAAUCGCGAAUCAGAAUGUCGCGGUGAAUACGUUCCCGGGUCUUGUACACACCGCCCGUCACACCACGAGAGUUUACAACACCCGAAGUCAGUGGCCUAACCGCAAGGAGGGAGCUGCCUAAGGUGGGGUAGAUGAUUGGGGUGAAGUCGUAACAAGGUACC
rnacentral:rRNA from 1 species